ACGAACGCUGGCGGCGUGCCUAAUACAUGCAAGUUGAGCGCUGAAGGUUGGUACUUGUACCAACUGGAUGAGCAGCGAACGGGUGAGUAACGCGUGGGGAAUCUGCCUUUGAGCGGGGGACAACAUUUGGAAACGAAUGCUAAUACCGCAUAAAAACUUUAAACACAAGUUUUAAGUUUGAAAGAUGCAAUUGCAUCACUCAAAGAUGAUCCCGCGUUGUAUUAGCUAGUUGGUGAGGUAAAGGCUCACCAAGGCGAUGAUACAUAGCCGACCUGAGAGGGUGAUCGGCCACAUUGGGACUGAGACACGGCCCAAACUCCUACGGGAGGCAGCAGUAGGGAAUCUUCGGCAAUGGACGAAAGUCUGACCGAGCAACGCCGCGUGAGUGAAGAAGGUUUUCGGAUCGUAAAACUCUGUUGGUAGAGAAGAACGUUGGUGAGAGUGGAAAGCUCAUCAAGUGACGGUAACUACCCAGGAAGGGACGGCUAACUACGUG
rnacentral:rRNA from 1 species